rnacentral:rRNA from 1 species
UGGGGAAUAUUGCACAAUGGGCGAAAGCCUGAUGCGGCGACGCCGCGUGAGGGAUGACGGCCUUCGGGUUGUAAACCUCUUUCAGCAGGGAAGAAGCGAAAGUGACGGUACCUGCAGAAGAAGCGCCGGCUAACUACGUGCCAGCAGCCGCGGUAAUACGUAGGGCGCAAGCGUUGUCCGGAAUUAUUGGGCGUAAAGAGCUCGUAGGCGGUUAGUCGCGUCUGCUGUGAAAACUCGAGGCUCAACCUCGGGCUUGCAGUGGGUACGGGCUGACUAGAGUGCGGUAGGGGUGACUGGAAUUCCUGGUGUAGCGGUGGAAUGCGCAGAUAUCAGGAGGAACACCGAUGGCGAAGGCAGGUCACUGGGCCGCAACUGACGCUGAGGAGCGAAAGCAUGGGGAGCGAACAGGAUUAGAUACCCUGGUAGUCCAUGCCGUAAACGUUGGGCACUAGGUGUGGGGUCCAUUCCACGGAUUCCGUGCCGCAGCAAACGCAUUAAGUGCCCCGCCUGGGGAGUACGGCCGCAAGGCUAAAACUCAAAGGAAUUGAC